rnacentral:rRNA from 1 species
CGCUGGCGGCACGCCUAACACAUGCAAGUCGAACGAAGUAGCAAUACUUAGUGGCAGACGGGUGAGUAACAUGUGGGUAUCUGCCCUUUGGCCUGGAAUAACACGAGGAAACUUGUGCUAAUACCGGAUAAGUCUUUACGGAGAAAGCUUUAUGCACCAUUGGAUGAGCCUGCACUUGAUUAGUUUGUUGGUGGGGUAAUGGCCUACCAAGACUGUGAUCAAUAGCUGAUUUGAGAGGAUGAUCAGCCACAUUGGGACUGAGACACGGCCCAAACUCCUACGGGAGGCAGCAGUGGGGAAUCUUGCACAAUGGAGGAAACUCUGAUGCAGCGAUGCCGCGUGAGUGAAGAAGGCCCUUGGGUUGUAAAGCUCUUUCGUCGGGGAAGAAAAUGACUGUACCCGAAUAAGAAGGUCCGGCUAACUUCGUGCCAGCAGCCGCGGUAAUACGAAGGGACCUAGCGUAGUUCGGAAUUACUGGGCUUAAAGAGUUCGUAGGUGGUUGAAAAAGUUAGUGGUGAAAUCCCAGAGCUUAACUCUGGAACUGCCAUUAAAACUUUUCAGCUAGAGUAUGAUAGAGGAAAGCAGAAUUUCUAGUGUAGAGGUGAAAUUCGUAGAUAUUAGAAAGAAUACCAAUUGCGAAGGCAGCUUUCUGGAUCAUUACUGACACUGAGGAACGAAAGCAUGGGUAGCGAAGAGGAUUAGAUACCCUCGUAGUCCAUGCCGUAAACGAUGUGUGUUAGACGUUGGAAAUUUAUUUUCAGUGUCGCAGGGAAACCGAUAAACACACCGCCU